rnacentral:rRNA from 1 species
CACGUAGGGGCCAAGCGUUGUCCGGAUUUAUUGGGCGUAAAGAGCUCGUAGGCGGUUCGACAAGUCGGGUGUGAAAACUCCGGGCUCAACCCGGAGACGCCACCCGAUACUGUCGUGACUGGAGUCCGGUAGGGGAGUGGGGAAUUCCUGGUGUAGCGGUGAAAUGCGUAGAGAUCAGGAAGAACACCGGUGGCGAAAGCGCUCUGCUAGGCCGCAACUGACACUGAGGGACGAAAGCUAGGGGAGCGAAUGGG